GGAUGUGAGGGCGAUCUGGCUGCGACAUCUGUCACCCCAUUGAUCGCCAGGGUUGAUUCGGCUGAUCUGGCUGGCUAGGCGGGUGUCCCCCUCCUCCCUCACCGAUCCAUGUGCAUCCCUCCUGAAGCUUCGAGCUCAGUCGAAGAGGACGACCUUCCCCCCCGCACCCCAGGAGAGGACUGGUCUUCGGUCAAGGGUAUACGAAUAGCUGUGCUCCCCUGCUAGAACCUCCAAACAAGCUCUCAAAUCCCAAUUCAAGUUUUACCUCCCCAGAAAAGCCUGUUCACCCAGUCUAAGGAGGUUGUCUCCACUCCCAAACUAUUGUCAUCUAUACUUUU
ensembl:misc_RNA 7SK 7SK RNA